CGAACAAAUAGUUUUGUCAGCACCGUCUUGUACCGACAUGUCAUGUUUCCAUCAGACUGGGCGUGACUUUUGUUUUCAUGCAUCAGGUAAUUCAUCCGCAUGAAAUGGUUUCAUGGAAACGUGGUUAGUGAAAACCAUGCUGAACCGUAAGAAUUACACCUGCAUCUGAGUUACAGUUAAACCUGAAUGUAAAGGUUAACCUAUGUGACGGUGAUUGUUUAUACUAUGUGUACUACACCCUAUUUCAGCUGGUUAGACCUAAACCCUAUUGUCGUUAUUGUUGUGUGAUAGAUACUUACUGUACUCAAACAGCAUGUGAACGGUAUGAAACGGAGCCCAACAGAUCGUGAACAGCAGAACGAUGAGAGACAUGCAGGUGUCAUCCUGCACAAUGCAUUUCAACAGGGAUUUUAGAAGAGCUCUCUGUGUGCCUGAAUGGUCUGGCAGUAGUGCUGUCAACUCAGACCGCCGGUUCAAUACCCAGAGAAACAACAUGGCUGCCAUGGGCAUCAGGAACAGAGCGACCAUGAUGAAGGUGGUGUACACUUGUCUGUGGACCAGGGAACCCCAACGCUCCUGACAACACACGUGGUGGUGGUCGUACAGGAAGUCAUACUUCACCUGGGAAUGGAGGGGGAACACAUCAAUGAAUCAUUCAAUCACAGCUUUUGGUUUUCUGGAGUGAUUCUGAAAGCGAACGAUUUGGUUAGGUUAAGUAGGGUUAGGUUAAGUCAGGUCAAGUUAGGUCAGGUCAGGUCAAGUUAGGUCAGGUCAAGUUAGGUCAGGUUAGGUCAAGUUAGGUCAGGUCAAGUUAGGCCAAGUUAGCUCAGGUCAAGUCAGAUCAAGUAAGGUUAGGUCAAUUAGGUUAGGUCAAGUUAGGUCAGGCCAGGUUAAGUUAGGUCAGGUUAAGUUAGGUCAGGUUAAGUUAAAUUAG